rnacentral:rRNA from 1 species
UACGGGGGGUGCGAGCGUUAAUCGGAAUUACUGGGCGUAAAGCGCACGUAGACGGUUUGGUAAGUCAGAUGUGAAAUCCCCGGGCUCAACCUGGGAACUGCAUUUGAUACUGCCUGGCUAGAGUAUCGAAGAGGGAAGUGGAAUUUCCGGUGUAGCGGUGAAAUGCGUAGAUAUCGGAAGGAACACCAGUGGCGAAAGCGACUUCCUGGUCGAAUACUGACGUUCAUGUGCGAAAGCGUGGGGAGCAAACAG